UCAAUACAGAGAGGGAGCUGGCAUCAGAAAACAACACUGGGAGCUGGGGACUGACAGUACAGGAGACCAGAGGGGAGCCAGAGGCAAGGUCUUGCUAUGUUGCUCAGACUGAUCUUGAACUCCUGACCCUAAAGUGAUCCUCCUGCCUCAGCCUCCCAAAGUGCUGGGAUUGCAGACAUGCUUGCUUCCUCAUCACCUUCUGCCAUGAUUGUGUUUCCUGAGGUCUCCCAGCCGUGCUUCCUGUACAGCUUGUGGAACUCUUGCCCAGAGACAUCUGAGUCUUCACACGGCGCACGGCACACUCCUUGUCAGAGAGCCCAUCCGAGUGUGAGGAUAUGUCAAUGGGAAUCUCUGGCGUCUGGGACAGCAGGUCGUCUAGCUUCUCUGAGAAGCAGUCUUCAAGUUUAUCAGCUAACUCAUCGGGACUGUUUGAGUGGUCACUGGUAUUUCCCUCUUCUCCAUCGGACACAGAGAAAUUCUCAGAGCUAAAGGUUGAAUAUGACUGGCAGCUGCUGAUACAGCGAUGGGGCCUAGAACCAAGAAGAACCAGGAGAACUUAGUCAGAGGAACUGCUUUUCUUUCCUUAUCUGUCACUCAUAGUAGUGGUAGAGAUAAUCUAGUUUUUUCCCUGCCAUCAAGGAGGCCUAAGAAAUCAAGAUAGGUAGAAACUAUUUAACUUUUAACAUUAAGGCAAUAGACUGAAUUUUAUCCCCCAUGAAAUUCCAUGUUGAGGCCCUAAUACCAGUGCGACUGUAUUUGGAGAUAGGGCUUUUAGGAGGUAAAUAAAGUUAAAUGGAUCAUAAGGGUGGGGUCCUAAUCAAAUAGGAUUGGCGGCCUUAUAAAAAGAGGAAGAGAUUCUCUCCAUUCCUCCCUCCCACCUUUUUUCAACAUUCAUGUGCAGGGCAAAGACCAUGUGAGGAAACAGAGAAGGUGGCUGUCUGCAAGGCAGGAAGAGAACCCUCACCAGAAACUGAAUCUGCUGACACCUUGAUCUUGGACUUCCCCAGCUCCAGAACUUGAGAAAUAAGUUCCUGUUGUUUAAGCCAUCCAAUCUGUAGUAUUUUGUUAUGGCAGCCCAAGGUGACUAACACAAGAAGGAAAUUUUAAUUUCCCCUUUCAUUUGGUUUAUAUAUUUAUGUGACUAAACACUACACUCCAAGCUGAUGGCUAUGACUGGCCUUUGAAAAAAAUCAGCUUGUCUAAUCACGUUAUGUACAUGUAUGCAUAGUAUGGAAUGUCCAAAUUGAAAUUAUGCCUCUUAUUUAGAGAGUCAUAGAUUCUCACAGGUGAAAGAGACUUUGGAGAAUUUCUGGACUAACUCAUUUCCCAGAUGAGAAAACUGGAGCCAGAGAAGGGAAGUGACUUGUUUAAGGCCACACCAUGAGAAAAGGCAGAGCUGAGGCUUGGGCUGGGUCUACACACACUUUGAUCAGUGUCCUUCUCUAACCUCCAUCCCUCACCUCCCUGUCAAUCCACCCCAGCUUCAUUUCCCAGAGCCCAGUGUCCACUGGGCAUGGUGGCCCUGGAGGCCCAAGUGCUUUCACUACCUCUGUUGACCAACCUUCAACAGAAAUGAGCUUGGAAGGAACAUUCACUCUGCAGCUGUGGGUACUGCCCAGCUAGUUAGUAGCUCAUUCCAGUUAACAUCUGAGUUUGGCUCUGAUGAGCCAAUGCUUCUGGGGAGAUAACUUGCAAAAGUUCCUCAGUUCCUUCCCGUUGUUUAUAAGCAGCUUAGUAAAUAAGGAUGUUACUAGCUUACACUGGCUUAAAAAAACAUAAGAAAACAAAUAAUAAAGACUUCCUUUUUCUUUUGC